rnacentral:misc_RNA from 1 species
UAUUACUCCAUGUUUUUAAUGUCU